rnacentral:lncRNA from 1 species
UGAGGAGCAGCCUAAAGAAAGGGAGCAUGGGCAAAAGAAUAUUCCCAAUUUUGCACGUUAUUUUGUAUUUGGUGAGGAAUCAGGUGUGUCACCUACUUGCAGUUACAGAGUUGGAGAUACUGUAAGGACACUUGCAUUUGAGUGAAAUCAAAAGUUGUCCAGACAUAAGCUAUUCUUCUUUACCCAUGUAGCAGUGCCCUGAACACUUCCACCACUGUACUUUCUGUGUGUUCUCUUGUUGCCUUUCCUUGGCAUUGCUGUAAGAAGUGGUAAAAUAUUCACUACAUUUAGGUUACAGAAGUCUACACCCAGAGGAUAAAAACGACUUCUUUAAGGUCAAUGACUAGUUUUUAUUUCUCUGUGGUUCAAUCUCAUGAGAACAUUAUUAGGUACACAGAACAUUCGAUUAAAACAUCUAGUAUUUUGCACCAAUAUGCAUGAUUCUUGUUGAUAUAAAAUAGUUAAAAUGAACUUCAUGGAGCACCGUCAUGACUUAUUAUUACCAGCGGGAAGCAAGCCAGGGUUAACACCCUCCCUGUCUAGUGAAUACAGCACACUGAUGGGUCUUGACUCUUUAUCUAACUUGCCAGAGUGAACAGGCAACCUACAACAUGGGAGAAAAUUUUUGCAACCUACUCAUCUGACAAAGGGCUAAUAUCCAGAAUCUACAAUGAACUCAAACAAAUUUACAAGAAAAAAACAAACAACCCCAUCAAAAAGUGGGCGAAGGACAUGAACAGACACUUCUCAAAAGAAGACAUUUAUGCAGCCAAAAAACACAUGAAGAAAUGCUCAUCAUCACUGGCCAUCAGAGAAAUGCAAAUCAAAACCACUAUGAGAUAUCAUCUCACACCAGUUAGAAUGGCAAUCAUUAAAAAGUCAGGAAACAACAGGUGCUGGAGAGGAUGCGGAGAAAUAGGAACACUUUUACACUGUUGGUGGGACUGUAAACUAGUUCAACCAUUGUGGAAGUCAGUGUGGCGAUUCCUCAGGGAUCUAGAACUAGAAAUACCAUUUGACCCAGCCAUCCCAUUACUGGGUAUAUACCCAAAUGAGUAUAAAUCAUGCUGCUAUGAAGACACAUGCACACGUAUGUUUAUUGCGGCACU